CCUACGGGAGGCAGCAGUGGGGAAUUUGGACAAUGGGGGAAAGCCUGAUCCAGCAAUGCCGCGUGUGUGAAGAAGGCCUUCGGGUGUAAAGCAAUUUUGUCCGGAAAGAAAUCGUGGAUUUAAUACAGUAGGGGGAGACGGUACCGGAAGAAUAGCACCGGCUAUUACUG
rnacentral:rRNA from 1 species